rnacentral:sRNA from 1 species
AAAACUAUAAGAAGAGAUGAUUAAGAAA